GAAAAACACAAAAAUGAAUGAGACCCACAGGCUAUUUGCAAUGUGUUAAUUGGCUGCAAUCAGACAACUUGCAAGGCUUUUUUGUGCAAUAAAUGUUCCCCUAAAUGCAUUUGAAAACAUGCUGCACUGAGUGUAACAUGUAAGGGAUAACGGCCGACGAGGCUUAGAACUCUGGCGACAAGCGCAGCAUGAAGCCAGAGUUGCCUCUACCUGUCCAUUAUUUCCAUCGAACCGGUCGACCUCGAAGGCCGUUAUCCCGCUUAUCACCCGUUUGUAUUUAUCUCCCGUAUAUUUAGAAUAUAAUUGUAUCAAUUACUUUCUUUAAAUUUAGGAAUCGUGCGCUUGAACUUCAGAAAACAACCUAUUACAGCUACCGUUACACUGGAGAGCUGAAGGGAGGGGCGGGAAAAGUCUCAUUGGCUCGGGCAGCACUGGAGAGAAAGCAUUCCGCUGGGUCCUAAACACCCUUUUGUAUCGGACGUAGGCUACAGUAGGCAAAAUACGCUACAUAAGGCAAUGCCUUCAUGAAACCGAAAUCCGCGGAUCUCCAGAAUGCUCCGAACUGUGGUAAACGAACCGAACGGAUUCGGAUACAAUUCGAAUCCGCUGCAGGCCUAGUAUUCACACACACACACACACACACACACACACACACACACACACACACACACACACACACACACACACACACACACACACACACACACACACACACA